UAGGGAAUCUUCGGCAAUGGACGAAAGUCUGACCGAGCAACGCCGCGUGAGUGAAGAAGGUUUUCGGAUCGUAAAACUCUGUUGUUAGAGAAUAACAAUGACGUUAGUAACUGAACGUCCCCUGACGGUAUCUAACCAGAAAGCCACGGCUAACUACGUGCCAGCAGCCGCGGUAAUACGUAGGUGGCAAGCGUUGUCCGGUUUUAUUGGGUGUAAAGCGAGCGCAGUCGGUUUCUUAAGUCUGAUGUGAAAGCCCCCGGAUCAACCGGGGAGGGUCAGUGGAAACUGGGAGACUUGAGUGCAGAAGAGGGGAGUGGAAUUCCAUGUGUAGCGGUGAAAUGCGUAGAUAUAAGGAGGAAAACCAGUGGCGAAGGCGGCUCUCUGGUCUGUAACUGACGCUGAGGCUCGAAAGCGUGGGGAGCAAACAGG
rnacentral:rRNA from 1 species